UAGAUCAAGAAUGUCAUGCUAUAGAAUGUACCUCUUUUUUAUUGGAGAAGAUGAUUCUGUUUCCAUUUUGAUAUCAGGUUCAUAAGCAAGGUGUUGCACUUGGAAGAUCUGUUGACUUGACAAAGUUUGAUGGUUAUGACCAAUUGAUCGAGGAGUUAGAUCAGCUAUUUGAAUUCAAAGGAGAAUUGAUGGCUUCAAAUAAAAAUUGGAUGAUUGUAUUUACUGAUAAUGAGGAUGAUAUGAUGCUUGUUGGAGAUGACCCUUGGCAGGAAUUUUGUGCUAUGGUCCGUCAGAUUUUUAUAUACACAAAAGAGGAGGUCCAGAAGAUGGAUUCAAGUACCUUGAACCCAAAAAAUGAAGAUUGUCCUGAUAUGAAAGAGAAUGUCAAGGAAACAAAAGGCAGUCAAUCUGCAUCAUCAUCUAAUUCAAAAAACUCAUAGGCUUAUCCUGCAAUAUCACUAUCAAGGAAAAAUGUUCAAAGGAAAGUAAAGGCUAAGGAUAAGAUCACGUAAUUAACUACACGGGUCUAGUGAAAAUACUGAAGAAGUAUGACAAGAGAACAGGAGCACUUAUCAGGCAGCCCUUCAUCGAAAAGGUGCUGCAGCAGCCAUUCUUUACAACUGAUCUCCUAUACAAACUCGUGAAGGAGUGUGUGGCUAUGCUCGACCACCUCUUCCCCAUCAACAACCUGUCAAUUUCAGCAGAAUGCGACGGACAAAAUGGAGUGCCAAA